rnacentral:rRNA from 1 species
UACAGAGGUCUCAAGCGUUGUUCGGAUUCCUUGGGCGUAAAGGGUGCGUAGGUGGCGCCGUAAGUCAGGUGUGAAAUCUCGGGGCUUAACUCCGAAACUGCAUUUGAUACUGCGGUGCUUGAGGACUGGAGAGGAGACUGGAAUUUACGGUGUAGCAGUGAAAUGCGUAGAGAUCGUAAGGAAGACCAGUGGCGAAGGCGGGUCUCUGGACAGUUCCUGACACUGAGGCACGAAGGCCAGGGGAGCAAACGGG